rnacentral:rRNA from 1 species
UGGGGGAUAUUGCACAAUGGGCGAAAGCCUGAUGCACCGACGCCGCGUGGGGGAUGAAGGCUUUCGGGUUGUAAACCUCUUUCGCUAUCGAACAAGGCCCGCUUAGGGUGGGUUGAGGGUAGGUGGAGAAGAAGCGCCGGCUAACUACGUGCCAGCAGCCGCGGUAAUACGUAGGGCGCGAGCGUUGUCCGGAAUUAUUGGGCGUAAAGGGCUUGUAGGCGGCUUGUUGCGCCUGCUGUGAAAACGCGGGGCUUAACUUCGCGCGUGCAGUGGGUACGGGCAGGCUUGAGUGUGGUAGGGGUGACUGGAAUUCCAGGUGUAGCGGUGGAAUGCGCAGAUAUCUGGAGGAACACCGAUGGCGAAGGCAGGUCACUGGGCCAUUACUGACGCUGAGGAGCGAAAGCAUGGGUAGCGAACAGG